CUUAUCGAGAGCGGCUGAGGGAAUAGGCCCUGUGAAGCCCGGCAACCUGUUGUACUGUUUACCGUCGAUUCAGCUGCAACAAGGUGCUAAAUCCUACAGGGACUCCUGGAAGAUGAGG
rnacentral:ncRNA from 1 species